UACGUAGGAAGCGAGCGUUGUCCGGAUUUACUGGGCGUAAAGGGCGUGUAGGCCGUCUGUUAAGUCUCGUGUGAAAUCUCCCGGCUCAACUGGGAGGGGCCACGGGAAACUGGCAGGCUUGAGGAAGGUAGAGGAAAGCGGAAUUCCCGGAGUAGUGGUGAAAUGCGUAGAUACCGGGAGGAACACCAGUGGCGAAGGCGACUUUCUGGGCCUUUCCUGACGCUGAUGCGCGAAAGCUUGGGGAGCGAACCGG
rnacentral:misc_RNA from 1 species